AUAACAUUGCCUUCGGGGCUCUUGGUGAUUCAUAAUAACUUCACGAAUCGCAUGGCCUUGCGCCGGCGAUGGUUCAUUCAAAUUUCUGCCCUAUCAACUUUCGAUGGUAGGAUAGUGGCCUACCAUGGUGGCAACGGGUAACGGGGAAUUAGGGUUCGAUUCCGGAGAGGGAGCCUGAGAAACGGCUACCACAUCCAAGGAAGGCAGCAGGCGCGCAAAUUACCCAAUCCCGAUACGGGGAGGUAGUGACAAUAAAUACUGAUACAGGGGCUCUUUUGGGUCUUGUAAUUGGAAUGAGAACAAUCUAAAUCCCUUAACGAGGAACAAUUGGAGGGCAAGUCUGGUGCCAGCAGCCGCGGUAAUUCCAGCUCCAAUAGCGUAUAUUAAAGUUGUUGCAGUUAAAAAGCUCGUAGUUGAACCUUGGGCCCGUCCUGCCGGUCCGCCUCACCGCGAGUACUUGGUCCGGAUGGGCCUUUCUUUCUGGGGAAUCCCAUGGCCUUCACGUGGCUGUGGCGGGGA
rnacentral:rRNA from 1 species